UACGUAGGGUGCAAGCGUUAAUCGGAAUUACUGGGCGUAAAGCGUGCGCAGGCGGUUCGCUAAGACAGAUGUGAAAUCCCCGGGCUUAACCUGGGAACUGCAUUUGUGACUGGCGGGCUAGAGUAUGGCAGAGGGGGGUAGGAAUUCCACGUGUAGCAGUGAAAUGCGUAGAGAUGUGGAGGAAUACCGAUGGCGAAGGCAGCCCCUGGGCCAAUACUGACGCUCAUGCACGAAAGCGUGGGGAGCAAACAGG
rnacentral:rRNA from 1 species